GAAAAUAACAAUGAUUUCCCUAGUAACGGCGAGUGAAGAGGAAAGAGCUCAAAGUUGGAACCUGUUUGGCUUAGCUAAACCGGAUUGUAAACUGUAGAAACAUUUUCCAGAUACACUAGACAAAAAAGUCCUUUGGAACAGGGCAUCAUAGAGGGUGAGAAUCCCGUCUUUGGUCUAAGUAGUUGUCUAUUGUGAUAUGUUUUCAAAGAGUCAGGUUGUUUGGGAAUGCAGCCUAAAUUGGGUGGUAAAUCUCACCUAAAGCUAAAUAUUUGCGAGAGACCGAUAGCGAACAAGUACCGUGAGGGAAAGAUGAAAAGAACUUUGAAAAGAGAGUUAAACAGUAUGUGAAAUUGUUAAAAGGGAACCGUUUGGAGCCAGAUUGGCUUGAUUGUAAUCAACCUAGAAUUCGUUUUGGGUGCACUUGCAGUCUAUGCCUGCCAACGACAGUUUGAUUUGGAGGAAAAAAUUAAUAGGAAUGUGGCCUUUCGAGGUGUUAUAGCCUAUUAUCAUACUCUGGAUUGGACUGAGGAACGCAGUGAAUGCCUUUAGGCAAGAUUGCUGGGCGCUUUCGCUAAUAAAUGUUAGAAUUUCUGCUUCGGGUGGUGCUAAUGUUUAAAGGAGGAACUCGUUUAGUAUAUUUUUUAUUCGCUUAGGUUGUUGGCUUAAUGACUCU
rnacentral:rRNA from 1 species